GGCUCUUUAGCUCAGUUGGUAGAGCAGAGGCCUGAAGAGCAUUGUGUCCCCAGUUCAAGUCUGGGAGGAGCCACCA
rnacentral:tRNA from 1 species